rnacentral:rRNA from 1 species
GUAAUGGCAGGUCAGCAUACUGCCGUGAAUACGUUCCCGGGCCUUGUACACACCGCCCGUCACACCAUGAGAGUUGGGAAUACCCGAAGCCUGUGAGCUAACGUUAAGAGGCAGCAGUCGAAGGUAGAAUCAAUGAUUGGGGUGAAGUCGUAACAAGGUAAC